UUUUUUUGAAAAAAUUUUUGAAAAAUUUAUUUCUUAUUACAUAUAUGUGAAUACUUUAUUAUUUAAAUGACUUGUGGUAAAAGUUAACUUAUUUAUUGUCGGCGACGGCUUCACUAUAAUCUGAAUACGACGUGUUAGUGUUUGACUGUACUGACACAUUAUUCACCUUAGAAGAACUGUUGCCAUCGAAAUAUUUUUGCUCGACACGUACUAAGGCAUUCUGAAUACGUGGCCGCAAACUAUAUGCCAUCGUGCUCACUAUUGAAAAACCGACGCUUAGUACACAACAGGGUCAGAAUGACCCUGCACCGACUUCGAAUAAUACCCAACACCUAUUAGGUGUUGCGCUGUACAAAAGGAGCAUCUUAACAUAUAGUUAGUAUCCCAAACUAUAUAGUUAGUACCCCAAACAGGUAGAAGGCCUCAGGCCCGUCAAUUUUCAAAAUGCUUUCAAGAUAUUUACACUCAAAUUCGAGGUAAGGGUCAAAUUGACCCUAUGUGUUCUCCGAGGGUUAAUGAGUUUUGAAACGCAGCUUUGCUCGGAGCAGUUGAACCUAAUUGGUUAUAAUCGUAAGUAAAAAUUAAUCGCUCGGUGAACAAGCUGUGUUUUCGAAAUCCAUAAAAAAGUGGUGCAACCUUUUAGCAACUGACUGUACACAAGAGUUAUGUAUACAAGUCUAACAUUUCGUCUAAGAUGGCGGACAUUUAAUUGACCGAUAUAGUAGGUUUGUUCUUGGUAGCUGCAUUGCUGUACCGGUGCAAUAAGUUAGAAUGAGAAAAAAUAUAUUUGUCUUAUUCUAACUUGUUGCACCAGUCAGUAGUGCAGCGACAAAGAACAGGCCUAGUGCCAUUAGCUAUCCAGAGUGGUACCUGUUUGCUCACGUCAAUAUUGACCAAACGGACACAGUUAUUGAGGUUAAGCAACCGGUUUAUAAGGAUCUCGUUUUGUGUGGACACACACGGGAGGGCAAGGGGGCCCGAAAGCCUCUUCCGCACCUACUCCCAUCGCACAGUGGGCUGAGAACGUCUCAUUUGUGCCAAAAUUAUAAAACUAAAAGAUUAAUCUUUGUAUAAGUAUGGAAAUGCCUAUAAAAUAGUUCUAGAAGUUGCUAAUUUUAUUUUUUAAUAUUAAAAUUAAAAAUGGCGAAUUCAAAAUGGCAGAUUAUAUAUAGUGGAUGUAAUAUCUCAUUGAAAUUUUGUAAAAAUACGUACAUAUUAAUUGUUAAUAUUAGUAAAUUUAACAUUUUCAGCAAACAAAGCAUGUUUUUUGUUAUUGUAAUAAAAUAUACGUUUCUUAUUAGCCUACAAAAUUAUAAUUUUCAGAAUUUAUCACGUGGAGGUUACAGUACGAUUUUAGAUUCCAUAUUAACUAUUUGGUAAUUCGGGGUGCUUUUCGCGAGUCCUUUUGCUUCUCACUAAUCGAGGUGCUUUUUUCUCAUGAGUUCCCUUGCCUGUCACUAAUCAGGAUGCUUUUUUCUUGUGAAUCUCCUCGCCUCUUACUAAUCGGGGUGGUUUUUUCUCGCGAGUUCCCUCGCCUCUCACUAAUUGGGGGUGCUUUUUUCUCGCGAGCCCCCUUGCGUUCCACUAAUCGGAGUGCUUCUUUUUUCUCGUGAGUCCCCUCUCCUUUUACUAAUAACUAUUUUGAACAAUUAACACUCUUUUUCAUUAGAUAACACUAUAUCGUCCAGAUUAUGUAAAUUAGGCAUAGAUUCUAGAAAAUGAGCACCAUUAAAAUUAUUUUUAUCAUUAUUUUUACUAUUAUUGUUACUAUUACCAUUAAUUUUGUCCACAUUUUUUGGAAUUUUAAAAAGUUUAAUAACUUCUGGAGAAGAAGGUAACUUUUUAUGGUUUUCGAUUAGUUUUUUCAUGUCAAUUGUUGAAAUUAUUGGAUCUGAUGUGUCCAUUGCUCGAAAAAAUAUAUUUUCUAAGUUUGCUUUACGACAAUAUUUUCUACUAUAAAGUUCUCUAUACUUUUUAUAAUCUUUAUUUCUAGCUUUUGAUGCUUCUUCACCAAGCAUAUCUACUGACAAAAUACUAGAACUUAUAAUUUCGGCUCCAUGAAUUAAAAUUUUAUUUAUAAAGAUGAAGGCAUUGGAUACCAUGGAUAACAAGAUAUAUAGCGUUCAGAUAUACAUUUGCAUAACUUUUUAAAACGAUGAAUUGAUUGAAUAUUGAGAAGAUAGAGUUAUUAAAAUUGUUUCAAAAUUAGCAAGCUAUUGCCGAUUCAAAUUAAGACAUUUGGUGAAUGUUUUUAGAGUUUCAAAUGAUCUUCGUGCAGUAUUGCCAUCAUUACUCGUACCGCAACUACCUGCUUUUGGUUUAUCUAUUUUUAAUCCUAAUUUAUCCCAUAAAAUUUUUUGAAUUGCUUUUUUUUCUAGCUUUAAAUUUAGUUUUAUUUUCUGUAUCUCUAAUCUGCCAUUUUUUAAUAUCUUUUCUAUAAGAAAUAUGUAAGCAGCACUCAAGAAAUUGUAUUCAAGCAUGUAAUGGUUGUACUCCAUAUUGCAAUGACAUUAGUUCGGGUACAAACUUUGUAUUACAUAAAUUGUUAAAAUCUUUGGGAGUUGCGUGACAAAUGGGACACGCUUGCAUCGAGCGAGUUCCUGUUAUUAUAUUUGAAACUUUACUAUCUAUUAAAGUUAUAUGUAAGGAAAAAGGGUAAUUAUGCAGAUAGAGGGCAACCUCACCGAUUUCAAUGAUCUUGAUAUAUGUUGUCAAGGUCAUUAUUCUGAACAACUUUUCUCUAUACAUGUUAUCGUCGCUCGGCCUUAGUUUCCGAGUUAUACACAAAAAAAUUUUUUUUUUAAUUUCUUGCUUUAAUUUCAUUAGUUUUGAAACAGAGUAGGGUGAAGAAAACGCGUGGGAGGGAUGCAGGGGGAGAGGCUUUGUCCCUUUGCUUUGCUCUGUAAGCAGGGGAGAGGUGUAAAAAAGGGAGGUAAAAAAGAUUUAAAAAUGUACCAUUGUUUUCUGACUAAUAUGGAAUGAAAUUUGUGAAAAGUCGUAAAGUUAUAUGGUAUAGAGAACGCAUGGGCGGAGGAGGGGCUUGGCUCCUCCCCCUGUACCCUCUCCCUGUAAUUUUUUCUAACUUUAACCCACCAAUUUUAUGUCGCUAUUUGGUUAAUGCGAAAACAUUGGAAACGAACAGCGUGGAAAGUCGCAAACUUAUGUGGUACUAUACAAACGUGAACGUCAUUUACUUUACGUUUCAUAAAUACGAUACAUGAUAUCAGUGCUUUACGUAAAGUAAACGACAUCCACGCUUGUACAGUACUACAUAGGUUUGCGACUUUCCACGCUGUUCGUUUCCAAUGUUUUUGCAUUAACCAAAUAGCGACUUAAAAUUGGUGGGUUAGAGUUAGGAAAAAUUACGGGGAGGGGAUGCAGGGGGAGGGGCGGAGCCUCUCCCUCGCCCAUGUGUUUUCUGCACAACCCUUUGUGAAUUUCCAUGCGAAACUAAAUUCUCAUUAUUAUCAAAUACCCGUGUUAUAAUUUUUGAACUUUAAUCGUUAAUAACUUUUUAACGAGUCGCGACCGAUAAUUGAUCGAAGGUGAAGGUUCCCUUGUCAGAGUCAUGAUCUUGACAACAUAUGUCAAGGUCAAGGUGAUCGGUGGUUAUCUUAUAUCUCCAUAAUUACCGGAAAAAGAUAUGUAUAUUUGAUAGUCUAGCAAGUCAAUUAUACAGACAUGUAAGUUUUGUAUCUCAUCAUCUAUUAAUUGUUUUCGUUUUAAAAUUACAUUAGUUGAUUUUUUUAUAUAUUUCAUUUUUUUGGGCAGCAAAAUUUCGCAGAUUGUCAUACAAUUAUUCCAUAAUAUAAGACCAAUAGAUGUGACUAAUUGAAGUAAAAUAACAGACGUAACAAAUAAGUUUUUAUUGUUAAAAUCUUGGACAUUUGUAUAGGCUUGUUUAUAAGAAGAAUAACCAGUACUCCCGUCAAAACGCCAAGAACAAGUUAAUACGGUUUUUAUUACAGUAUCAUCGAUUUGUUGCAUAAUUUGAGAUAUCUGUUUGUAUGCUCACAAUCCGUUGAGCAGUGUGAUCUAGCAACAUUGAAGAGAAACUUUAGCAAUAUUUUCACUAAUAGAUGCUUCUUUCCUUAAUGGUCUGCAUUGUGAUUUUAUUCUUGUAACAUCAUUAUAGGCUGGCCAAAUGUCUGCAUCAGACAAUUUACUUUCUAAAUGCAUGUUUAUGUACAUUUCUUUUAAAAAAGAAUUAUUUAAAAUAAAUGCUAGGGCUUCUUUAGGAGGUUUUUUAAUUAUCAUAGAAAUAUUUAAAAGUUUUCUCAUUUUAUGUGGACGUCCUGGACUUUUUAAAAGUUUAGCUAGAACUGCUUCUAAAUCUUUUUCUUUUGUUUGUUUUGCAGCAUGCUGUCUCAUUAAUAAUAUUUUUGAGAUAUCGUGUUUACAUUGAGCACUUAUUUCUGCAAUUUUUCGUUUUUUUUUAUUUUAAUGAUUUAUUUUUGAAAUUAAGAGUUGGGCGACCUGGACGAGAAUGUGACGUACAAGGAAUCGAUUAUUUAUUGAAGUAUCAGUAGAAAUAUUGAAUGUCGAAUCAAGCCAUGUACAAUUUUUUUUUUCAAAUGUAAUCUUUUUUUCUAUGAACAUUUAAUUUUUCAUUUCGCUUAAUUUGAAGACUUGAUAGGUUUUUCUUCAAAUUUAAGAGAUUGUCUUUUGUUACACUUAAAUUAAAAGUGCUUAACUUAUUUAAUAUGUAAGUGACUGCUAUAUUGGUACUCGUAUUUCAAGGAAUUAAAGCUAAAGUUUCUCUUUGUAAAAGUUGUCAUGUUUUGAAAAGUAACAAAGAUUUAUUUAUAAAAAACGUUUAGAGCUAUUUAUAUAUUUAAAAUUUAUGUAUAUUAUUAUAUAUUUUUAGAAUAAAUUUAGAAUUUUAUACGGAAUAGAUAUUUAUAUUAAUAGAUAUACAUUUUAUGAAAUAAAAAGCUGGAAAUGUAUUACACUUAAUGUGUAUUAACAAUAAUUGGUAAGUAUAUAAUUAUAAUAGCAUAGGAAUUUUAAAUUCGGUAAAUCAGUACUUGUUAGUGACACACGCAGAUAUGAAAAAAGUGAGCUGAACACUAAAAGCUAUACACAACAAAACAAAGCCAGAAGAAAGUGACUAUCUCCACUUUUGUAACAAAAUUAGUCGAAUGUCGAAGCUGAUUAUUUCAUUUGUUUUGAUUUGAGUUAGUGAUUUUGAGUUAGUGAUCUUGAGUUAGUGAUGCUACUACCGCGACUCAUCUGUGUGCCACACAUAUGUGCGCUCAGCGCAAUGUGCGGUGUUGGGAGGGAGAGAUGGUAGGACAAAGGACAAGUAAGAGGAAUCUUACUUGAUCUUACGUGAUCUUAUGUAUGCGCGCGCAAUUCUGGCUCUUUAGUGAAGUAUGUGUGUCGCAGAAAUAUUGGUUACCGUUAGAAUUCUUAUAAAUAAAAAGAUUGGAAAAAUUAGAAUAUACGGUAGCUGUGUGGAGGAAAAAGUAAUACAGUGAAAUUAUGAAAAUAAUAAAUUAAUUGAUUUAUUGUGACUACAUUUAUUUGCAGCCGAUUUACAACAUGAAUACUAACAUUUGGUGUGAAGUUAAGAUCUUGAAUUCUGGAAGUCUGAUUCCAAAUUUGUGAUCAGUGACCGCAAGGACUCUAAAUACAGAUUCUUAUUAGGAUUUGAUCAAUUUUGGGAAUUCUUGACUGCCACAUUGAAUCUUAAAUCAUUAUCUUAAAUUUUCAAAAUCUGACUUCAGAUUCGUAAUCAGCGAAAACCUCUACAUACCGAUUUUUAUAAAAUUAAAAAAUUUUUCAAAAUUUUCGUCUAUCAUGUUGGAUCCGCCAUUAUGAGUUUCGAAAAUAUGAUAACGAAUUCGUAAUCAGCAACCCCGAAAACCCCUAUAUACCGAUUUUCAUGAAAAACCAAUUGUUAUAAUAAUUUGUAACUCAAAUGGUUGAACAGAGCGUUUCAAACAAAUCUCUUUGUAUUUAAUAAAGAAUAUCUAAAUAAUAAACAAAAAACUGCAAAAAACCGUAAGUCAGUUUUGAUGCGGAUAUUCUGUAGAAUAAAAUAAAAUUAGUCUCCCCCAAGAAACCUGCGGAGUCUUGUGGAGUAUGGGAUAAAUAGGUGGUCAUUUACGCAAAAA